AUUCGCGGCCUAUCAGCUUGUUGGUGAGGUGAUGGCUCACCAAGACGAUGACGGGUAGCCGGCCUGAGAGGGCGACCGGCCACACUGGGACUGAGACACGGCCCAGACUCCUACGGGAGGCAGCAGUGGGGAAUAUUGCACAAUGGGCGGAAGCCUGAUGCAGCGACGCCGCGUGGGGGAUGACGGCCUUCGGGUUGUAAACCCCUUUCAGUAGGGAAGAAGCGAGAGUGACGGUACCUGCAGAAGAAGCGCCGGCUAACUACGUGCCAGCAGCCGCGGUAAUACGUAGGGCGCAAGCGUUGUCCGGAAUUAUUGGGCGUAAAGAGCUUGUAGGUGGCUUGUCGCGUCUGCCGUGAAAACCCGAGGCUCAACCUCGGGCGUGCGGUGGGUACGGGCAGGCUAGAGUGUGGUAGGGGAGACUGGAACUCCUGGUGUAGCGGUGAAAUGCGCAGAUAUCAGGAAGAACACCGAUGGCGAAGGCAGGUCUCUGGGCCAUUACUGACACUGAGAAGCGAAAGCAUGGGUAGCGAACAGGAUUAGAUACCCUGGUAGUCCAUGCCGUAAACGUUGGGCACUAGGUGUGGGGGACACUCCACGUUUUCCGCGCCGUAGCUAACGCAUUAAGUGCCCCGCCUGGGGAGUACGGAAU
rnacentral:rRNA from 1 species